UCGCCGGCUCUUAAGCAGGAACGAGGCGUGGGGCUUCAAAAGCGCAUCGCCGUCUCCUCGGGUUCGUUAUAUGAUCGGGCGCCAGCCAUGGCAAUCCUCCGCGCCGCUACGGCGAUCUCCGUCGUCUCUACGAACGGCGAGCCCAUCGAUCUGGGCGCGAGAGAAGUUUAAACGUUUGAAGCCUUGCGCCUCCUCGCUCUCGCUGAUGGCUACAGAUCCACCGAACCGACGCUGACACCUCUCUUCAGAGCAAAGACCUUAACUUGAGUUUAAUUCUUCCUCCGAGAGGUGCAAAGAGGAUAUAAAAGGAACUACUGCUGGAAGCUCUAGAUUUUAUGUGAUGCAUAAGCUAUACUCUGCUGAAGGAAUUUGAGACUCUCGGUGGUGCUGAUCAAGGUCCGUGCUUUGCUAACGUCACAGAAGUACCCAAGAAAAGGCAAAGCUGGCUCCACUGAACCUUUCAAAGUGCAAAAAGGAGCAAUGAUAUGGUGCAGAUCAAUUCCCUUCGAGGAGACACCGACUGACAAACCUGUAUAGUGGAUCUCUUCUCUUCAAAAGCCAUAACUGCGGUCCAAGGACUGCUGAUUCAUCAGCUACACGUCAGAUCCCACCAGCAAUAUGAUGACAUAAGCCUUCCAAGUUAGAGAAAUCAUUAUACCUAUUACCCUCUGACCCGAAAACUAUCAAGCGUACAUGCUGAGGACAUUAAAUCAUGGCGUCCAUACCCUACAAAAAAAAAAAAUAAUGGAGGCCGCAAGGAUCAUUUAUUAGAAUGCAUUCCAACGUUAAAUGGAUGCCUUUUGUUCUCCAUUAAGCCCUCAAUUCCACCACUUAUGAUGUGUAUCAUCAUCAAUAAAUGCACUUGGCAUACAUGUUUUUUCCUUGGAAAAAAAUCUUUUUAUCAACGUAUGCCUAUCCACCUUUUAUUUAGGAUCAGAGCUCUACAUGUAAUAUCGAAUUUGCUCAUAAUUAAUAAAUCUAUCACAACAUGUAAUAA